rnacentral:rRNA from 1 species
ACGAACGCUGGCGGCGUGCCUAAUACAUGCCAGUAGAACGCACAGUUUAUACCGUAGCUUGCUACACCAUAGACUGUGAGUUGCGAACGGGUGAGUAACGCGUAGGUAACCUGCCUGGUAGCGGGGGAUAACUAUUGGAAACGAUAGCUAAUACCGCAUAAUAUUAAUUAUUGCAUGAUAAUUAAUUGAAAGGUGCAAUUGCACCACUACCAGAUGGACCUGCGUUGUAUUAGCUAGUAGGUGAGGUAACGGCUCACCUAGGCGACGAUACAUAGCCGACCUGAGAGGGUGAUCGGCCACACUGGGACUGAGACACGGCCCAGACUCCUACGGGAGGCAGCAGUAGGGAAUCUUCGGCAAUGGACGAAAGUCUGACCGAGCAACGCCGCGUGAGUGAAGAAGGUUUUCGGAUCGUAAAGCUCUGUUGUAAGAGAAGAACGGGUGUGAGAGUGGAAAGUUCACACUGUGACGGUAUCUUACCAGAAAGGGACGGCUAACUACGUG